AAGACCUUGCGCUUUUGGAGCGGCCGAUGCCUGAUUAGCUUGUUGGUAAGGUAAAAGCUUACCAAGGCUUCGAUCWGUAGCUGGUCUGAGAGGACGGCCAGCCACACUGGGACUGAGACACGGCCCAGACUCCUACGGGAGGCAGCAGUGGGGAAUUUUGGACAAUGGGGGCAACCCUGAUCCAGCCAUGCCGCGUGAGUGAAGAAGGCCUUCGGGUUGUAAAGCUCUUUCAGCCGGAACGAAACGGUUACGGUUAACACCCGUGACUACUGACGGUACCGGAAGAAGAAGCACCGGCUAACUACGUGCCAGCAGCCGCGGUAAUACGUAGGGUGCGAGCGUUAAUCGGAAUUACUGGGCGUAAAGCGUGCGCAGGUGGUUUUGUAAGUCAGAUGUGAAAGCCCCGGGCUCAACCUGGGAACU
rnacentral:rRNA from 1 species